GUGGUAAUGCCGGAUGCUCCAGUUGACCGCAUGGUCCUCUGGGAAAGCUUCUGCGGUAUGGGAUGGGGUCGCGUCCUAUCAGCUUGAUGGCGGGGUAACGGCCCACCAUGGCUUCGACGGGUAGCCGGCCUGAGAGGGCGACCGGCCACAUUGGGACUGAGAUACGGCCCAGACUCCUACGGGAGGCAGCAGUGGGGAAUAUUGCACAAUGGGCGCAAGCCUGAUGCAGCGACGCCGCGUGCGGGAUGACGGCCUUCGGGUUGUAAACCGCUUUUGACUGGGAGCAAGCCCUUCGGGGUGAGUGUACCUUUCGAAUAAGCACCGGCUAACUACGUGCCAGCAGCCGCGGUAAUACGUAGGGUGCAAGCGUUAUCCGGAAUUAUUGGGCGUAAAGGGCUCGUAGGCGGUUCGUCGCGUCCGGUGUGAAAGUCCAUCGCUUAACGGUGGAUCCGCGCCGGGUACGGGCGGGCUUGAGUGCGGUAGGGGAGACUGGAAUUCCCGGUGUAACGGUGGAAUGUGUAGAUAUC
rnacentral:rRNA from 1 species